rnacentral:rRNA from 1 species
UACGAAGGGGGGCUAGCGUUGCUCGGAAUUACUGGGCGUAAAGCGCACGUAGGCGGCUUGUUAAGUCAGGGGUGAAAUCCUGGAGCUCAACUCCAGAACUGCCUUUGAUACUGGCGAGCUUGAGUUCGGGAGAGGUGAGUGGAACUGCGAGUGUAGAGGUGAAAUUCGUAGAUAUUCGCAAGAACACCAGUGGCGAAGGCGGCUCACUGGCCCGAUACUGACGCUGAGGUGCGAAAGCGUGGGGGAGCAAACAGGG